GCGCUAAUGUUUACGGUGGAUGUAACACUAUGGCUUGCGGAGAUUUUUUCGUUCAACCGAACCAGUUUGACCCAGAACCGGACCCAGAAGUAGAGGCUCCGGAAGAAGUACAGACUCUGCGGCUGCAGCAGGACGUUUCAGAAUGGACUAUAAUGACAGCAUGGACUAACAUGAUGUGGUCACCACAACCAGAGACGUUGGGAUCCUGAGUGAAGACGCAUCUUUCGACAGGCUUGUGGAAAGGGCUCAGCAAGCUGAACACCAUAGAAGAGUCACUAGUGACCUUCAAGUAAUGUUCAUCACUCAGGAUAUGGUCUACUACAACAUCUUGAAGUGAGUUUGAAAAUGGAAUUUAAGUCACAUAGUGUAACUAAUUUUGGUCAAAACAUGUUAAAUGAAUGAUUUAAGUGAAACAUUUUCUGUUAGCUUAGUGUUUGUACAUUUAUUUUGAGCAUUCUCCUAAGAAAUAUAUAUAUUUACAGGCGGUCAUCGCAUGAAAAGUUAUAUCCUCCUGGGCAACAUCAAAUGGCAGGGUAAUCAGAGUGCUGGGCUUCUUGACAAGCCUGGUUGAAGCACAGACAACCAGAUGUCACAAUCACGUGGCAUUUGUUAUGGAUGUGCUUCUGCCAGAGGUAAAUUAUGAAACUUUUUUAUUUAUUAUAUUAACAUAUUUUGUAUAAUUGUUAUUAUUGUCAGUCUUUAACUUAUGGUUAAUAUCUUGUUAACUGCAACAUGACAGACAACUUAAAUGUCUAAAUGAAAGAUGUCCUUUUGUUGACCUCAUGACACAGGCAACAGUCCACGCCCUUUCAGCUGUCCAUUGCAUUUUCCAUUGACAGUAUAAAUGUGGACUGCAGUAUGACUUGAGGUAUGCUAUAUACAUAAGGAGAGUGCUAAUACCUAUAAGUAUUGUUUUUUACAGUGUUUAUGACAGCCUCUCCAUGUGAAUUUCCUUUUACUAAUCACUAUUUUCUUCCAUUUUGUCUCAUCAGUGAGAAAUGGCUGUUGGUUCAUUACAUGACAAAAAACAUGAUCAAGGAGGCCCUACAGCAACUAGAAAAAUAUGCUGAAAAAACUCAGAAGAGCUCUGGACUCUGAGGAGUUUUUGAAGAGGCUUUAGUAUGUAUGUAGGAUGAAUUAAAAAAUAGUCUGUGAAAUGAUAAUGUUUAAUUUUAUUACCAAUAAAAGUUGUUGCUGGCUAAUUCAUUUGUCUCAACUUUUGUGUUUUGAGGUACAUAUUUUAAAGACCUGUGUAUGGUCAUAUUUAUAAAUACAUAAAUACAUUUUAUUUGUGUCAAAGGGCCAGUAGUCUUUUCUGUUAACCCAUAAGAAAUCAUCACCUUAGAGUGAUAUUUAUGGCAUCUGAUGUAGUAGGCCAAGCUCUGUGACAG
rnacentral:lncRNA from 1 species